UGGGGAAUAUUGCACAAUGGGCGAAAGCCUGAUGCAGCAACGCCGCGUGCGGGAUGACGGCCUUCGGGUUGUAAACCGCUUUCAGCUCUGACGAAUUUGACGGUAGGAGCAGAAGAAGCACCGGCUAACUACGUGCCAGCAGCCGCGGUGAUACGUAGGGUGCGAGCGUUGUCCGGAUUUAUUGGGCGUAAAGAGCUCGUAGGUGGUUGUUUGCGUCGGAAGUGAAAACCUAGCGCUUAACGCUGGGCUUGCUUUCGAUACGGGAUGACUUGAGGAAGGUAGGGGGUUGGUUG
rnacentral:rRNA from 1 species